rnacentral:misc_RNA from 1 species
GAUGAAGAACGUAGCGAAAUGCGAUACUUGGUGUGAAUUGCAGAAUCCCGUGAACCAUCGAGUCUUUGAACGCAAGUUGCGCCCGAAGCCACUAGGCCGAGGGCACGCCUGCCUGGGCGUCACACGCCGUUGCCCCCCCAUCUACUCCUUCGGGAUUGCGGGGGGGCGGAUGAUGGCCUCCCGUGCGCCUAGCCGCGCGGUUGGCAUAAAUACCAAGUCCUCGGCGACGCACGCCACGACAAUCGGUGGUUGCGAAGCCUCGGUUGCCCGUCGUGUGCGUUCGUCGCGCAUCGAGGGCUCGAAAAAAUGCUCGGCUCCGGCUGGGCUUUCAACGCGACCCCAGGUCAGGCGGGGUUACCCGCUGAAUUUAAGCAUAUCAAUAAGCGGAGGA